AGAGUUUGAUCCUGGCUCAGGAUGAACGCUGGCGGCGUGCUUAACACAUGCAAGUCGAACGCUGAAGCUCCCAGCUUGCUGGGGGUGGAUGAGUGGCGAACGGGUGAGUAUCACGUGAGUAACCUGCCCUUGACUCUGGGAUAAGCCCGGGAAACUGGGUCUAAUACUGGAUAGGACUGGCCAUCGCAUGGUGGUUGGUUGAAAGCUUUUGCGGUUUUGGAUGGACUCGCGGCCUAUCAGCUUGUUGGUGGGGUAAUGGCCUACCAAGGCUUUGACGGGUAGCCGGCCUGAGAGGGUGACCGGCCACACUGGGACUGAGACACGGCCCAGACUCCUACGGGAGGCAGCAGUGGGGGAUAUUGCACAAUGGGCGCAAGCCUGAUGCAGCGACGCCGCGUGAGGGAUGACGGCCUUCGGGUUGUAAACCUCUUUCAGUUGGGAAGAANCCUUUCGGGGUGACGGUACCUUCAGAAGAAGCACCGGCUAACUACGUGCCAGCAGCCGCAGUAAUACGUAGGGUGCGAGCGUUAUCCGGAAUUAUUGGGCGUAAAGAGCUCGUAGGCGGUUUGUCGCGUCUGCUGUGAAAGCUC
rnacentral:rRNA from 1 species